CCUACGGGAGGCAGCAGUGAGGAAUAUUGGUCAAUGGACGAGAGUCUGAACCAGCCAAGUAGCGUGAAGGAUGACUGCCCUAUGGGUUGUAAACUUCUUUUAUAUGGGAAUAAAACGUUCCACGUGUGGGAUUUUGUAUGUACCAUAUGAAUAAGGAUCGGCUAACUCCGUGCCAGCAGCCGCGGUAAUACGGAGAAUCCGAGCGUUAUCCGGAUUUAUUGGGUUUAAAGGGAUCGUAGGUGGAUUGUUAAGUCAGUUGUGAAAGUUUGCGGCUCAACCGUAAAAUUGCAGUUGAAACUGGCAGUCUUGAGUACAGUAGAGGUGGGCGGAAUUCGUGGUGUAGCGGUGAAAUGCUUAGAUAUCACGAAGAACUCCGAUUGCGAAGGCAGUUCACUGGACUGCAACUGACACUGAGGCUCGAAAGUGUGGGUAUCAAACAGGAUUAGAUACCCCAGUAGUC
rnacentral:rRNA from 1 species